rnacentral:rRNA from 1 species
CAGUAGCCACGGUAAAACGUAGGUGGCAAGCGUUGUCCGGAAUUAUUGGGCGUAAAGCGCGCGCAGGUGGUUUAAUAAGUCUGAUGUGAAAGCCCACGGCUCAACCGUGGAGGGUCAUUGGAAGCUGUUAAACUUGAGUGCAGGAGAGAAAAGUGGAAUUCCUAGUGUAGCGGUGAAAUGCGUAGAGAUUAGGAGGAACACCAGUGGCGAAGGCGGCUUUUUGGCCUGUAACUGACACUGAGGCGCGAAAGCGUGGGGAGCAAACAGGAUUAGAUACCCGCGUAGUCCCUGUCUCUUAUAA